rnacentral:misc_RNA from 1 species
UCUCCGUAGGUGAACCUGCGGAGGGAUCAUUACCGAGUGAAUGGCCCCCGGGUCCGAUCUCCCACCCUUUGUGAUUAAACCUCUGUUGCCUCGGGGGUGACCCGCGCGUCUCCGGCGCCGGGGCCCCCGGUGGACCAACCCAUAACACUGCAUCUUUGCGUCGGAUUACAAAGUUUAAUGAUUUAAAACUUUCAACAACGGAUCUCUUGGUUCUGGCAUCGAUGAAGAAUGCAGC